rnacentral:rRNA from 1 species
GAUGAACGCUGGCGGCAUGCCUAAUACAUGCAAGUCGAGCGAACGGACGAGAAGCUUGCUUCUCUGAUGUUAGCGGCGGACGGGUGAGUAACACGUGGAUAACCUACCUAUAAGACUGGGAUAACUUCGGGAAACCGGAGCUAAUACCGGAUAAUAUUUUGAACCGCAUGGUUCAAAAGUGAAAGACGGUCUUGCUGUCACUUAUAGAUGGAUCCGCGCUGCAUUAGCUAGUUGGUAAGGUAACGGCUUACCAAGGCAACGAUGCAUAGCCGACCUGAGAGGGUGAUCGGCCACACUGGAACUGAGACACGGUCCAGACUCCUACGGGAGGCAGCAGUAGGGAAUCUUCCGCAAUGGGCGAAAGCCUGGCGGAGCAACGCCGCGUGAGUGAUGAAGGUCUUCGGAUCGUAAAACUCUGUUAUUAGGGAAGAACAUAUGUGUAAGUAACUGUGCACAUCUUGACGGUACCUAAUCAGAAAGCCACGGCUAACUACGUGCCAGCAGCCGCGGUAAUACGUAGGUGGCAAGCGUUAUCCGGAAUUAUUGAGCGUAAAGCGCGCGUAGGCGGUUUUUUAAGUCUGAUGUGAAAGCCCACGGCUCAACCGUGGAGGGUCAUUGGAAACUGGAAAACUUGAGUGCAGAAGAGGAAAGUGGAAUUCCAUGUGUAGCGGUGAAAUGCGCAGAGAUAUGGAGGAACACCAGUGGCGAAGGCGACUUUCUGGUCUGUAACUGACGCUGAUGUGCGAAAGCGUGGGGAUCAAACAGGAUUAGAUACCCUGGUAGUCCACGCCGUAAACGAUGAGUGCUAAGUGUUAGGGGGUUUCCGCCCCUUAGUGCUGCAGCUAACGCAUUAAGCACUCCGCCUGGGGAGUACGACCGCAAGGUUGAAACUCAAAGGAAUUGACGGGGACCCGCACAAGCGGUGGAGCAUGUGGUUUAAUUCGAAGCAACGCGAAGAACCUUACCAAAUCUUGACAUCCUUUGACAACUCUAGAGAUAGAGCUUUCCCCUUCGGGGGACAAAGUGACAGGUGGUGCAUGGUUGUCGUCAGCUCGUGUCGUGAGAUGUUGGGUUAAGUCCCGCAACGAGCGCAACCCUUAAGCUUAGUUGCCAUCAUUAAGUUGGGCACUCUAAGUUGACUGCCGGUGACAAACCGGAGGAAGGUGGGGAUGACGUCAAAUCAUCAUGCCCCUUAUGAUUUGGGCUACACACGUGCUACAAUGGACAAUACAAAGGGCAGCGAAACCGCGAGGUCAAGCAAAUCCCAUAAAGUUGUUCUCAGUUCGGAUUGUAGUCUGCAACUCGACUACAUGAAGCUGGAAUCGCUAGUAAUCGUAGAUCAGCAUGCUACGGUGAAUACGUUCCCGGGUCU